UACGGAGGGAGCUAGCGUUGUUCGGAAAUACUGGGCGUAAAGCGCACGUAGGCGGCGCAGCAAGUCAGGGGUGAAAUCCCGGGGCUCAACCUCGGAACUGCCCUUGAAACUGCAGUGCUAGAAUCUUGGAGAGGCGAGUGGAAUUCCGAGUGUAGAGGUGAAAUUCGUAGAUAUUCGGAAGAACACCAGUGGCGAAGGCGACUCGCUGGACAAGUAUUGACGCUGAGGUGCGAAAGCGUGGGAGCAAACAGGG
rnacentral:rRNA from 1 species